CACUGCUGCUGUGGAUGAGGCACAGACAGUUCAGCCUUCAGCUGUCAAGCUGGGCCAGGAGCAGUUUCCACAUGGUUCCAGGUCCCCGCAGCAGCAGCAGCAGCAGCAGCAGCAGCAACAGCAACAGCAGCCAGGCUCUCCCUAGCUGCUGCUUGCCCUCCAGGCUGAGCCACAGUUCAGUCCAGCAGAUUCCAGUUUGCUCAGGCAUAACCACCAGCAAAGCAAGCAAGCAGACUAUGCAAGACAGGAAGUAACUAGCUGAAAUGCCAACGAAUGUUUCUUUUUUCACCUGAUACACUGUUUACUCUUAACUGUACAAAUAUAGUUUGUCCUAAGAGCCAAGAGAGGAACCUUUCCACCUACAAAUAGAAAAUGGUUGUCUGUUGGCUUUAGGCUACCUGUUACAGCUCCUCAUAGCCUGGUGUUGUAUUUAUUCAACCUGUUUACAUUAGAAUUGGAGAAGGGGCCCUGGAUCUUGGUGGGCUGCCACUGUACCCCCAAGAGCCUUUUGAUAGAGGGACUUGGGACACGUUAUGGCCUGUCAGGGAUGCUUUUACCACAAAGAAAUGGUAUGGAAUCAAGUGGGAUGAUUGAUGUAUGAUUGACACAGUACCAAAGUGCACUCUUCAAUGUAUAUGUGCCUGUUUCAGGCAAGGUCCGAGUUGAAAAUGCAGUAAAGCAGAGUCAUGAAAGCAAACAGACUAUUUCUGAUCAGUCUCUGGAGAGCUGCGUCUCGGUGUGGACUAAGCUGAAGGCAGUGUUUGGGCGCUAUCCUGGGCCUGGGAGGUACCAGGUUAGAAUGCCUGCCUCACUUUGGCAUUCACAGUGAGCAGGAAGCACUGGGGGUUGUGUGGGGAGUCUCCACAGGGAACAAUGUACCUUUUGAUGUGCUCCAAUGGACAUUACUUACUGCUUCCUGUUCUCCUGUGACCAUUCCCAUUUCUCUGAAGACACCAACAAGUUUGAGUAAAGAGUGACUUAGGGACACCAUUGUCCUUGCAUCUUAUGGCUACCUUAGCAAUCUGGUUUUUAAAAUUAUCUUCUUCGGAACCAUUAGGUAUUAAAAAAU
rnacentral:lncRNA from 1 species